GGGGCUGUGGCUCAGUGGAAGAGUCUCUGCAUUGUGUCCAAAAGGUCCCAGGUUCAACCUCUGGCACUUCCA
rnacentral:tRNA from 1 species